rnacentral:rRNA from 1 species
CCAGACUCCUACGGGAGGCAGCAGUGAGGAAUAUUGGUCAAUGGGCGGGAGCCUGAACCAGCCAUGCCGCGUGAAGGCGAGUGCCCUACGGGCGUUAAACUUCUUUUGUGCGGGAGCAAUAAGGGCCACGUGUGGCCCGAUGAGAGUACCGCACGAAUAAGCAUCGGCUAACUCCGUGCCAGCAGCCGCGGUAAUACGGGGGAUGCGAGCGUUAUCCGGAUUUAUUGGGUUUAAAGGGAGCGUAGAUGGGUUGUUAAGUCAGUUGUGAAAGUUUGCGGCUCAACCGUAAAAUUGCAAUUGAUACUGGCAGUCUUGAGUACAGUUGAGGUAGGCGGAAUUCGUGGUGUAGCGGUGAAAUGCUUAGAUAUCACGCAGAACCCCGAUUGCGAAGGCAGCAUGCCGGCUUCCGACUGACGCUGAAGCACGAAAGCGUGGGGAUCGAACAGGAUUAGAUACCCGAGUA